ACGGCGUAGUAAUGCAUCGGAACGUGCCCUCUGGUCGGGGAUAGCUACGGGAAACUGUAGGUAAUACCCGAUGAUCUCUGCGGAGCAAAGGUGAGAUUCCGCCGGAGGAGCGGCUGAUGUGAUAUUAGCUAGUUGGUGGGGUAAUGGCCCACCAAGGCGAUGAUGUCUAGGGGGUGUGAGAGCAUGGCCCCCACGACCGGAACUGAGAUACUGUCCGGACACCUACGGGUGGCUGCAGUCGAGAAUCUUCCGCAAUGGACGAAAGUCUGACGGAGCGACGCCGCGUGCGGGAUGAAGGCCCUUGGGUUGUAAACCGCUGUCAGAGGGGAUGAAAUCUUCGGAGGUACUCCUCCGAAGUUGACAGAGCCUCAAAGGAAGCACGGGCUAAGUACGUGCCAGCAGCCGCGGUAACACGUACUGUGCGAACGUUAUUCGGAAUCACUGGGCUUAAAGGGUGCGUAGGCGGCGAAUCAAGUCAGGUGUGAAAGGCCUGAGCUCAACUGAGGCAUUGCGCUUGAAACUGAUUUGCUUGAGUAUCCCAGGGGUGUGCGGAACUGCCAGUGGAGCGGUGAAAUGUGUUGA
rnacentral:rRNA from 1 species